UACGUAGGGGGCAAGCGUUGUCCGGAUUUAUUGGGCGUAAAGAGCGUGUAGGCGGCCAGGUAAGUCUGCUGUGAAAACUCGAGGCUUAACCUCGAGCUGUCGGCGGAAACCAUCUGGCUAGAGUCCGGAAGAGGAGAAUGGAAUUCCCGGUGUAGCGGUGAAAUGCGCAGAUAUCGGGAAGAACACCCGUGGCGAAGGCGGUUCUCUGGGACGGUACUGACGCUGAGGAGCGAAAGCGUGGGGAGCGAACAGG
rnacentral:rRNA from 1 species